rnacentral:rRNA from 1 species
AGCGAACGCUGGCGGCAGGCCUAACACAUGCAAGUCGAACGAACCUUUCGGGGUUAGUGGCGGACGGGUGAGUAACACGUGGGAACGUGCCUUUAGGUUCGGCAUAACUCAGGGAAACUUGUGCUAAUACCGAAUGUGCCCUUCGGGGGAAAGAUUAAUCGCCUUUAGAGCGGCCCGCGUCUGAUUAGCUAGUUGGGUGAGGUAAUGGCUCACCAAGGCGACGAUCAGUAGCUGGUCUGAGAGGAUGAUCAGCCACAUUGGGACUGAGACACGGCCCAAACUCCUACGGGAGGCAGCAGUGGGGAAUCUUGCGCAAUGGGCGAAAGCCUGACGCAGCCAUGCCGCGUGAAUGAUGAAGGUCUUAGGAUUGUAAAAUUCUUUCACCGGGGACGAUAAUGACGGUACCCGGAGAAGAAGCCCCGGCUAACUUCGUG